UUUUAGCUAAACGGGAUUGAAAUGAUAUCCUUUUUUGUUGCAGUGCUUCUAUGGGCUAAGCAGUUACAAGCCCAAAAAAGAUUUAAUGAAAAGCCCGACUGACA
rnacentral:sRNA from 1 species